UGAAUACGAGAUGCUACGGCGUCGAAGCAGUCUAUGUCAUACUUCCAAGAAAAGCUCGCACUGUCAUAAACAAAUAAUGCCUGUACCAUAACCGACACAGGUGGGUAGGUAGAGUAUACUAAGGGGCGCGAGAUAACUCUCUCUAAGGAACUCGGCAAAAUGACUCCGUAACUUCGGGAGAAGGAGUGCCUUAUUUAUAAGGUUGCAAUAACAAGAUCCAAGCAACUGUUUAUCAAAAACACAGGUCUCCGCUAAGUCGUAAGACGAUGUAUGGGGGCUGACGCCUGCCCAGUGCCAGAAGGUUAAAGAAGUUGGUUAGCAUUCGCGAAGCUGAUAACUGAAGCCCUGGUGAACGGCGGCCGUAACAAUAACGGUCCUAAGGUAGCGAAAUUCCUUGUCGGGUAAGUUCCGACCCGCACGAAAGGCGUAAUGAUUUGGAUACUGUCUCGGAGAGGGGCUCGGUGAAAUAGACUUGUCUGUGAAGAUGCGGACUACCUGCACCAGGACAGAAAGACCCUAUGAAGCUUUACUGUAACUUGAGAUUGAAAUUGGACUUUACUUGCGCAGUAUAGGUGGGAGGCGUUGAUAAUAUUCUUGCGGGAUUAUUUGAGCCAUCAGUGAGAUACCACUCUUGUAAUGUUAGAUUUCUAACUUUGUAUCAUUAUCUGGUCAAAGGACAGUUUCAGGCGGGCAGUUUGACUGGGGCGGUCGCCUCCUAAACGGUAACGGAGGCGCACAAAGGUUUCCUCUGAACGGGUAGAAAUCGUAUCUAGAGUGUAAAGGCAUAAGGAAGCUUGACUGUGAGACCUACAAGUCGAGCAGGGACGAAAGUCGGUCUUAGUGAUCUGACGGUGCUGAGUGGAAAGGCCGUCACUCAACGGAUAAAAGUUACUCUAGGAUAACAGGCUGAUCUCCCCCAAGAGUUCACAUCGACGGGGAGGUUUGGCACCUCGAUGUCGGCUCAUCGCAUCCUGGGGCGGUAGUACGUCCCAAGGGUUGGGCUGUUCGCCCAUGAAAGCGGUACGCGAGCUGGGUUCAGAACGUCGUGAGACAGUUCGGUCCAUAUCCGGUGUAGGCGUUAGAAUAUUGAGAGGAGCCUUCUUUAGUACGAGAGGACCGAGAAGGACAUACCUCUGGUGUACCAGUUAUCGUGCCAACGGUAAACGCUGGGUAGCUAUGUAUGGAGUGGAUAACCGCUGAAAGCAUCUAAGUGGGAAGCCCACCUCAAGAUAAGUAUUCGC
rnacentral:rRNA from 1 species